rnacentral:lncRNA from 1 species
AAACAAUACGUAUCAAACUAUUAAGCGGAUCAUGUGGAUCAAGGAGGAACUAAAAUCACUAGAUUAUCAAAUCUUUUCUAUCUAAACGUUUUUUUAAUAACACCUAAACAUUUUUUUUUGGCAAACUUUUUACAUGGAUUAUAUAAUUUUACAUGAAUCCUUCUGGAUUUCUGUUGGCUUGCGUGGGGCAAUGAUUUUUGUUCGUUGGAUUGAGCUUCCAGCUUCUCAAAUCAUCACGUUUGGCUUCCACAGAUCAGAACAAAGGAAACCCUAGUCGGAGGAUUAAGAAGUCGACUGACAAGGAAGAUGGGGUGAGGUCUGAGUAUGUCGUGAUUGCUUGGUAUGGGAUACGACAUCGUAGAGCCUUCAGUCGGGGACUUGAGCAUUCAGAAGUUCUAUGAUGGAUCGUGUGGGUCGCCUGAUUGGAGACGGGAUUGGAGUCCGAAAGCUUCCAAUUCUCGUUUUCCGAUUUCAGGGGAACCGCCACAAAGUUGUCGGACUUGCUUUCGCCAGUUUGAUG